GGGGCUGACCGGUUUAGACAGCGGGUAGAAGUGGUUUGUAAGCAUGUAGUGCGUAGUUGGCUUGCACUUAAAUCUCAGACAACGAACAAUUAACUGGCGAAAACAAUUACGCUUACGCUGCUUGAUCGAAGUAUAGUAGAUACAUAGCUUAAUCCCUGCAACAGUUGUGGGGACGUAACGUCACCCAGAUGCUGUGGCUUCGAAGCGGUCUGAAUAGGUGGCGCAGCCAUAUCGGAGAUAGUUUAAAGUAGGCCUCGGCCUUUAAGCGAAACAAAGAGGAUAAGGUUAGGGUUGGUAGCUUCGGUCUUGCCCUCUCCCGACAAACAAAGCGAAGAUAAACAUGUAGAAAGCAAAUUAAUUCCUCGUUUGGACGAGAGUUCGAAUCUCUCCAGCUCCACAG
rnacentral:tmRNA from 1 species